GGGGGCGAACAGUAUCGAUUCGGACCAGUGAGCAGCGAGGGGCAUGCCGAGGUGGUCAGGAGGCCUCGUGCCGCAAGGCAUCCCGAGCGCGAGCGAGGGAUAAAACACCUGACAGCAACACAAGUGCCAACUACAACCCUGUAGCAGAAGCGGAAGCGAUUCUCGCUUCUGAGGCACUGCCAGUCGCUGCCUAAUUAACUAGGCAGCGCCGUCGCCUGGUCAGCCUGCGGGCCGGGUGGGCGUCUCGAGCAGGCUGGCCCGGGGGUGGCCGCUGGAACCCGGGCGAGAGGACACAGCGGCUCAGUCCCGUCGCGCUCGCCUCGCAAGCGGGGCGGGAUGAACAGCUCGAUGCGAGGCUACGCAUGUAGAGGGCUCACGCUCUCGAUCCGAAGACGCGGGUGCAACUCCCGCCGCCUCCACCA
rnacentral:tmRNA from 1 species